AACAAGUGUAACAGAUCAGAAUAAAGAGAGAAGGCGUUUGUUCUCUGACCACAGAACCUCAGAAACAGAAGAGCAGGCGUGUUCACAGAGACGCUGACUUCCUGUCCUCUGUUCAAACACAAACUGUGGUCACUGUGAGUUCAGACACUUCAGCCUGUCAGGAUGUGGGUGAACAUCUACUGCUGCCUGUUAGCCUGCACUCUGAGCUGUCAUGUCACACCAGGGUAAAGUGAGGUGGAGCAGAGAGAGUGGAGGAAGCAGAGCUGACAUACUUACUGUUGAUGGAGACAGAAACAUAAAACACAUCAAUGAUCCACAGAAACGAUACAGUUCACAGGCUGAUCGAUCGCUGAUCAUCCUCAGAGCUUCUGUCUCAGACUCUGGCAGAUACUUCUGUAAUAGUUACCCAGCUGAGGAGCUGACAGUGAUCCCAUCAGGAACAAUAAGACGCACUGUUGAAGAGAGAGACAGCGUCUCACUGAAAUGUCCUGGUGAUGUUGGAGGAUCAGCUGUUCCAACAUGGAGACGAGACACUGGAGAAAUAAAUUAUGGAAGAAAUCAUUUUUCCCAUAAAGACAAAACAUUAACAAUAAGAGAAGCUGAGCCUGCUGACUCUGGACUGUACUACUGUGAUGGAAAACCAGCUGUUUAUCUGAAUGUGACCAAAGCACAGAGAUCUGACAGAGGUGAGACACAUGAACCCAAAUUAUCAUGCAGGUAUAAAAUAAUUCAAUCAGCAGGCUGAUUCUGCUCUGACCGUCAAACAUGAAGCUACAGUCUGCAGACCGUUAGCUUAGCUUAGCAUAAAGACUGCAAACUGAGGGAAGUGUUAGCCUGACUGAGACCAUCAGCUCCACUUGUGUCCCCAGUGUGGUUGUCACAAGUGAAACAACCACAGGAAGCACACUGACAGGCUGCUGUGGAAGAGGAAAGGUGGAUCUCUGGGUUAUUAUGAUGUUUUUAAUACAAACUGACCCAGAAACAGUGCUGUAUGAAUCUGAAUAUUUAAAGUAACGAUUGAAAAGAGUGAGACUGAAGAAAAACUAGAAGUUUGCUUUCUGUCUCACAGAGUGUUGUACACUCUGACAAAGUUAGGCCAGGUUUAACUCUGGGUGUAUAUGAAACUAGCUGCUAUUAAAGACCACACGCUCUGCACACAAGCGGUUUGAGGUUCUGAGCAAGAUGCCAAUAAACAGCUGAGUACAGUAAUGACAGUCUGCUGUUCCUGUUCAACAACAGCUUUGUAUUGGAGAUUAUGUAUCGGAAUUUCAGGAGCAGGACCACGGCUCCAAACAUGCUACUUCCAGUUGUCGUCUAGAUAGGUUCCCCCAGUUCUGCAAGCUGUUCAUUCUCGUUUACGUCCCCCACCCUUCCUCCCUCCUUGUUCUUAAUUUUCUAACUUCUUCAUGUCUAUUUAGUACAUGGGGAUCUGCCAGUAAAUGCAGAUGUAACAGGUGGUCGGUGCAGAGAUAAGAUAAGAUAACCUUUAUUAGUCCCACACGUGGGAUGUAGGCCAAGAUUAACUCUGGGCUGAUAUAAAACUCGUUGCUGUCAGAGAAGCCGAGUGCAACACGCUCUGCAUGCAAGUGGUUUGAGGUUUUAAGAAAGAUGCCAGGACACAGCUCAGUAUGAUAAUAGCAGUCUGCUGCUCCUGUCCAACAACAGCUUUGUGACGCACUGACAGUAAAGACUCCAACAGUUCACUGGUGACCAAUCAAAUUUUUACUUCAAGAUUCAAAGUUAGAAAUGAUGACAAUGGAAUUAUAUUUAUUAUAGAAAGAAGGGCGCUG
rnacentral:lncRNA from 1 species